ensembl:lncRNA
CUCUUUCUUUCUUUCUUUCUUUCUUUCUUCCUUUCUUCCUUUCUCUUGGAGAGAAGCAAACUGCAUCGUCAAAGCAUUUAAAAACACAAACCAAAGGAAACUGGGUUUCCAGGCUUUAAGUAGAUGCUGUUUCCCCACAAUUGAUUUCCAAAAGUAACUUGGAAACCACUGUCAUUUUUCAUUCAGAUUCAUUUAGAAGCAUAACAUUGCAGUGGUACCAAGCAUCUAGAUUUGCUUUUUGCCAGUGGGAUGCAAAGCAUGGUCUCUGUUCUGUGGGUAAGGCAUCCCCCCUUCUCACAUGCCUUUGGGGGUGGGGGAGGCAGAGCCUGGCCCCUGCUGGUGGCUGUGACUCGGAAGUUGGAGGAGAUGCAGUGAGCUGUGUAUCUCUCUAGAUUCUACCACCCCACACCAAAUGGAAGCCUGAAGGUCACUUUGUAGUCUGAAAGGCACCUCCUGUUACUUCUCCCUGGGAGGAUGGACCUUGUCUCCGGGUGACAUGUAGGCCUCGUGCUUCAGGCUUCCCUCGAGGAGUCUGGGGACCAGUGUCCAGAAGGGCUCCAUCAGGCUCACAUGGUGUCCCCUUCAAGCAUGGGGUUUGGCCAGAUUUGAUCCCAGGUAAGAAUCUUACAAGUGGCAGAUGGAUGCAGCUGGUCAGGCAGCAUGAGUGACUUGCAAGCUUGGGACUCACCACGUUUCCAGGGUCUGCACAGCUGGGAUCACGAGGUAACCAAGGCCAACAGCUCCUGUUCACUGAGUCCAGUCCUAGGCACACCAUGAGAGUUAUCGGCUUUGCGCAAACUUCUGAGGCUGGUACUGAUAACGACCCUCAUUUAGAGAGAAGGAAGCCAUGGGGUGGAAGGUUAACUAGCUUCAGAGGCCAGCAAGUGAAGGUUCAGGAAGGACAGCAGGUGUCUGUUGGCCCAGCCCACAUCCUUGCAUUCUCGCCAUGCUGCUCCCACUGCCCUUUCCAUCAGUGGCCACCACCCCACAUUCCAUGGAGCCCCUUCCCUAGAGGUUGUUGGUCCACAGCUCUGUGUGCCUGGCUGCACUGUGAGUUCUCCAGGACAGACCCCAAGGAACUAACACUGCCUGGCCUGCACCAAACAUCCUGGCUGCACUUUCCUUGUUUAAGAAGUGGGUUGCCAUCUCCGGCCCAUCAAACCUUCCAGAACAAAGAGGACACUGUCUUUGAUACUGAAUGUUUGAGCUUAUGCUAGGAGGAAGACAUUCGAGGAACAGGAUCAUCACUCUGGCCUGGAGGAGGGUCCUCACUCCCAUCAUGCACUUGGGUAAGACUUGGUUGCCAUCCUUUCAACAGAGCUGCCUGCAGAGGGGCUGAGCCCCACCUGUCCGGCAGGGAGAAUCCGGGGUGGACCAAGCCUGCUCUGUCGGGGACAAAGGACACUCUGAGGAAAAGACAGGACUUACUCAUUAUGAAGUCAUGAAGAAAACUUGCUCACUUGAGGUGUGUGGGAGGGAGGGUGAUGCUAAUUGUCAGCCUAGCAGAUGGUUCCCUCUGCCAGAUUCCCCAACCACGCCUUGAACUCAGCAUUACAGGGAAGGGGGGAGAGCAUGCCCUUCCAGAAUCAUCCCAGGUAUGCAUUGAUUCACUCAGCCUUCGUUCACCCAUUCCACCGUCUGUCCAAGUGACCGGAAUGCACCAGGACGAAGGCUUUUACGUGGAUGCAGACUCAAGUAAAAAUCUUUUCAAAACUGCGAACCUGUCACCCGUGUUGGCAGCACCAUGAAAUAAAACAGAAAAGAAAAACUACACAAAGGUUGUUGACCCAAAUAAAUAACAUUUAUCUUGGGGUUUGUGCCGGAACAGCAUCUUCAUAACCAAGGCAAGAGCAGGCCUGGCACACCUAAUACCAUGUUCUGCUGCCGAUUCUCAGGGCGCCCUUGAUGGAAGGUGGCUGGGAAAUCAGGAGGCACCACCUCUGUCACACUGGGUCUGUCUGGAGGUGCCAUCACUUUAUGCUCUCGGAGUCUGGAAGUGGUGGAGAAGCAAAGGAUUGCACGCCAGUAAAGAAAUCCAGUAUGGUUUUCAUAGAAACUAGAAACUUAUUAGAUUGAUGAUUCCUGUACCAUUUUUAUUUCCCCUUUGGGUUUGCAAAGUAUCUCCUCAUUCACAGGGGCUUUUGUAGAUAAGUUUUCACUGAGCUUCAAAAUGAGCAGGCAGGCUGGCAAAGGGACUCAUCCCCAUUCAUUUGUUGAGUUGCUGAUUUAACAGAUGAAGGUUUUACAGAUGGAAAGGCCCGGGGACGUGGCUAAUUAGACAAAUCACAGGGAGAGGACCCAGGGCCGGGCCUCCUGAGCCCCACAUCUGUGUCCUAGGGCCUCCUGGGGCUGACUCAGUGAUGUUGCUUGGGCUAUGGGGAAGGGCUUGCCUUGCAAAACACAGAGGCCUAAGGGCUGGAGGUGAAGUCAGGGAAGCAUUAGAUUUGAGGCCAAGGAGCUGGCACCUAGCAUUGGGUCUGACUAAGCUUGAGGGCACUGUUUGGUCCGCUGCAGAAGCCUCUGGGCUGGCACUGGACUGGGCAAGUUCUAGGCACGCUGCACAUGUGAACUGAAUUCACCAUGCCUGGACGCUAAGUGGGACCCAAGACCAUGUGUCCCUAGGGAUUUGAAAGAUACACCAAAAUAAUGCCAAUCAUCAUAAAGACUCAGAAGGGAUUAGCCAGUUCACUCACAUGAGUAAUGACAAUACACAUUUAAACACACACACACACACACACAAUCAGGUUUCUGGGCUCACUCCCCACAGGGUCCCAGUGCUGGCUGAACAAGCCCAACUGUGGGAGCUGAGGGCAGAAUACUCUGAGUAACCGGAUUAGAAGGAAAGAGCAAAGGACACCCAGAGCUUUCUUUCCCUUCCCUGGGAAAGGCAAGGCUGGGUCAAGCCCACUUUAGACGUCCUUUGUCCCUGAGUGUCCCAUGCGGACGGCCCCCGCAAACCACCUUGCCCGUAUUCUGCCACCACCUGCCCUGCCCAAGAAGGGCUGGGAACCUGGGCUCAUCCGGCCGCUGGGCUCAGCCUCCCAGACCAGCGGUCAACACACCUGGAGGAGGCGCAUGUGCUCAUGAUUUCAGGCCUCUUUUCAGAGCAAGUUGUGAGGGUUGGGGGAGGGGAGGUGAUGUUUGGGGACAAGCCUGUCCCACGAGCUGGCAGCUUAGAAGAUUUCUCCCAGAGGAGCCCUCGAACUGCUUCUCCUAAACCAGACUCUUGUACUCAGGCCACCAUCCCCCUUUGGGGGGCAGACGGCCACGGUCACCAAGAAGGCCGGUGGGCCCCAGGUGGCACUCCCUCUGGGACAACCCCGGGCAUCACGGUGUUUUGUUCCUUCUACCUGUUGCCGCUCAGACCCAUCUCGGUCCCCAGGGCCGCCUAACAUGGACCACGUUCAGCCCACUUGGUGGAGAGCAGACCUCUCUGAGUCAGCCCACAAUUGGAAAAAUAAUAAUUGUGCUUCUGUUAUUUGCUGCUUCCCUUGGCCUUUUUCUCUUCCUGUAGACUACCAUAUUCAGGGGUGGUUUCACUGUUCAAUUCAUGUCUGUUUUUUAAAGAAAAAAAAUACAAAAUGCCCACUGGGAACUAUAUCCAGUCACUAAUGAUGGAGCAUGAUAACAUGAGAAAAAAGAAUGUACACAUGUAUGUGUGACUGGGUCACCUUGCAAUACAGUAGAAAAUUGACAGAACACUGUAAAACCAGCUAUAAUGGAAAAAAUAAAAAUCACUAUAAAAAAAAUAAAUAAAAAUAAAGGCAUUCCAUAUACCACAGAGUGACUGGCCAACAGGGACCUACUAUAUAGCACAGAGAACUCUACCCAAUAUUUUGUCAUGAUCUGUAUGGAAAAAUAAUCUGAAAAAGAAUUAAUUGUGUAUAUGUAUAACUGCAUCACUUUGUUAUACAGCAGAAAUUAUCACAACCUUGUAAAUCAACUAUACUGAAGGAGGGAGGGAGGGAAAAUCCACACAGACACUGAGGCUCCUCCCAGGGGAACCUAAAGGAUGCCGGGGUCUCCACUUUGAUUCAGAGCCUCAUGCCAUGCAGUUUUUAAAAAGUGAUUAGAGAAAUUAAAUGGAAUUAAAAAAAAAAAAAAGCUGGUCACAGAAUCACUAUUCUAAGAGACAUGAUCCUUUCAUGUUGCAAAAAGGCCCUCUUCC